rnacentral:rRNA from 1 species
GCCCAAGACACCUAGCUAUGCCACACCCACAAGGGGUCCUCAGCAGUGAUUAACAUUAAAAAUUAACGCCAGUUUGAUUUAGUUAGUGAAAACAGAGCCGGCCAAUCUGGUGCCAGCCGCCGCGGUUACACCACGUGGCUCAAAUUGAUUCGGCGUAAAGCGUGAUUAAACUAGGGUUAAACCUCAACUAAGCUGUAGAACGCUUGUUUCUUGAAAACCCAUACCCGCAAGAUACCCUAAACCUCACCAACUUGAACUCACGACAACUGGGAAACAAACUGGGAUUAGAUACCCCACUAUGCCCAGUCGUAAACUUUAAAUUACACCGCCUGGGAACUACGAGCUAAGCUUAAACCCAAAGGACUUGACGGUGCCCCACAUCCCCCUAGAGGAGCCUGUCCUAUAAUGGAUACUCCCGGUUUACCUCACCAUUCUAGCAGCUGGUUACUUCGUCG